rnacentral:rRNA from 1 species
GAUGAACGCUGGCGGCGUGCCUAAUACAUGCAAGUCGAGCGAACGGACGAGAAGCUUGCUUCUCUGAUGUUAGCGGCGGACGGGUGAGUAACACGUGGAUAACCUACCUAUAAGACUGGGAUAACUUCGGGAAACCGUAGCUAAUACCGGAUAAUAUUUUGAACCGCAUGGUUCAAAAGUGAAAGACGGUCUUGCUGUCACUUAUAGAUGGAUCCGCGCUGCAUUAGCUAGUUGGUAAGGUAACGGCUUACCAAGGCAACGAUGCAUAGCCGACCUGAGAGGGUGAUCGGCCACACUGGAACUGAGACACGGUCCAGACUCCUACGGGAGGCAGCAGUAGGGAAUCUUCCGCAAUGGGCGAAAGCCUGACGGAGCAACGCCGCAUGAGUGAUGAAGGUCUUCGGAUCGUAAAACUCUGUUAUUAGGGAAGAACAUAUGUGUAAGUAACUGUGCACAUCUUGACGGUACCUAAUCAGAAAGCCACGGCUAACUACGUGCCAGCAGCCGCGGUAAUACGUAGGUGGCAAGCGUUAUCUGGAAUUAUUGGGCGUAAAGCGCGCGUAGGCGGUUUUUUAGUCUGAUGUGAAAGCCCACGGCUCAACCGUGGAGGGUCAUUGGAAACUGGAAAACUUGAGUGCAGAAGAGGAAAGUGGAAUUCCAUGUGUAGCGGUGAAAUGCGCAGAGAUAUGGAGGAACACCAGUGGCGAAGGCGACUUUCUGGUCUGUAACUGACGCUGAUGUGCGAAAGCGUGGGGAUCAAACAGGAUUAGAUACCCUGGUAGUCCACGCCGUAAACGAUGAGUGCUAAGUGUUAGGGGGUUUCCGCCCCUUAGUGCUGCAGCUAACGCAUUAAGCACUCCGCCUGGGGAGUACGACCGCAAGGUUGAAACUCAAAGGAAUUGACGGGGACCCGCACAAGCGGUGGAGCAUGUGGUUUAAUUCGAAGCAACGCGAAGAACCUUACCAAAUCUUGACAUCCUUUGACAACUCUAGAGAUAGAGCCUUCCCCUUCGGGGGACAAAGUGACAGGUGGUGCAUGGUUGUCGUCAGCUCGUGUCGUGAGAUGUUGGGUUAAGUCCCGCAACGAGCGCAACCCUUAAGCUUAGUUGCCAUCAUUAAGUUGGGCACUCUAAGUUGACUGCCGGUGACAAACCGGAGGAAGGUGGGGAUGACGUCAAAUCAUCAUGCCCCUUAUGAUUUGGGCUACACACGUGCUACAAUGGACAAUACAAAGGGCAGCGAAACCGCGAGGUCAAGCAAAUCCCAUAAAGUUGUUCUCAGUUCGGAUUGUAGUCUGCAACUCGACUACAUGAAGCUGGAAUCGCUAGUAAUCGUAGAUCAGCAUGCUACGGUGAAUACGUUCCCGGGUCU